UACGUAGGGUGCAAGCGUUAAUCGGAAUUACUGGGCGUAAGGCGUGCGCAGGCGGUUGUGCAAGACCGAUGUGAAAUCCCCCGGGGCUUAACCUGGGAAUGGCAUUGGUGACUGUACGGCUAGAGUGUGUCAGAGGGGGGUAGAAUUCCACGUGUAGCAGUGAAAUGCGUAGAGAUGUGGAGGAAUACCGAUGGCGAAGGCAGCCCCCUGGGAUAACACUGACGCUCAUGCACGAAAGCGUGGGGAGCAAACAGG
rnacentral:rRNA from 1 species